CUGUAAUUGUCAAAAGAAAAGCAAAAGAAAAACAAAAACGUUUUUUGGUGACUAAUUCAGUGAGAAACUAUUCUCUGUUUCUAAUCCUUUGUACUUAAAUGCUAUAGCUGUAUCUGAAUAUAUUAUUGUAUUCUAUGUCUUUUUUUUUUUUUUUACAAAAUAAUGACCAUGUGCACGAGGAGGUCAUUGAAUGACUUGACAGGCAGCGAGGACCAUUCUGUGA